CACUGUUGUCGGAGGUCAAAGCGAACUGUGAAGGAUUUUCCGAGGAUUUAAGAACCUCUUUUCAGGACAAGCAGCCAACGAGUUCUCACGGCGUGAUGUGGAUGCAUUAAGGACAGAAGAGCAAAGCAAUAAACGCCCGUUCCAAAGAA